rnacentral:tRNA from 1 species
ACUAUUUUGGCAGAUUAGUGCAAUAAAUUUAGAAUUUAUUUAUGUAGUUUAUCCUACAAAUAGUA